ACGCCCUAAACGAUGUAUACUCGUUGUUGCUCUGCUAGUCAGGGCAGUAAUUCAGCUAACGCAUUAAGUAUACCGCCUGGGGAGUACGGUCGCAAGAUUAAAACUCAAAGGAAUAGACGGGGACCCGCACAAGCGGUGGAGCAUGUGGUUUAAUUCGAAGAUACGCGAAGAACCUUACCUGGGCUUGAUAUCCUAAGAACCUCUUAGAGAUAAGAGGGUGCUAGCUUGCUAGAACUUAGAGACAGGUGCUGCACGGCUGUCGUCAGCUCGUGUCGUGAGAUGUUCGGUUAAGUCCGGCAACGAGCGCAACCCACGUAUUUAGUUGCUAACAGUUCGGCUGAGCACUCUAAAUAUACUGCCUUCGUAAGGAGGAGGAAGGUGUGGACGACGUCAAGUCAUCAUGGCCCUUAUGCCCAGGGCGACACACGUGCUACAAUGGCAUAUACAAUGAGACGCAAUAUCGCGAGAUGGAGCAAAUCUAUAAAAUAUGUCCCAGUUCGGAUUGUUCUCUGCAACUCGAGAGCAUGAAGCCGGAAUCGCUAGUAAUCGUAGAUCAGCCAUGCUACGGUGAAUACGUUCCCGGGUCUUGUACUCACCGCCCGUCACACCAUGGGAGUUGAUUUCACUCGAAGCGGGGAUGCUAAGCUAGCUACCCUCCACAGUGGAAUCAGCGACUGGGGUG
rnacentral:rRNA from 1 species